rnacentral:rRNA from 1 species
UCGAGGAUCUUCGGCAAUGGGCGCAAGCCUGACCGAGCGACGCCGCGUGGGCGAUGAAGGCCUUCGGGUUGUAAAGCCCUGUCGCGGGGGAGGAAAGCCGAAAGGUUUGACCGACCCCGGGAGGAAGCACGGGCUAAGUUCGUGCCAGCAGCCGCGGUAAGACGAACCGUGCGAACGUUGUUCGGAAUCACUGGGCUUAAAGGGCGCGUAGGCGGCCCGCCAAGUCAGGGGUGAAAGCCCCCAGCUCAACUGGGGAAGGGCCUUUGAUACUGGCGGGCUCGAGCGGGAUAGGGGCGGACGGAACUUCCGGUGGAGCGGUGAAAUGCGUUGAUAUCGGAAGGAACGCCGGUGGCGAAAGCGGUCCGCUGGGGCCCUCCUGACGCUGAGGCGCGAAAGCCAGGGGAGCAAACGG